AUUGAACGCUGGCGGCAGGCCUAACAAAUGCAAGUCGAACGAGUGGCGGACGGGUGAGUAAUGUCUGGGAAACUGCCUGAUGGAGGGGGAUAACUACUGGAACCGGUAGCUAAUACCGCAUACCAUCGGAUGUGCCAAGAUGGGAUUAGCUAGUAGGUGGGGUAAAGGCUCACCUAGGCGACGAUCCCUAUCGGGUCUGAGCGGAUGACCAGCCAAACUGGAACUGGGACACGGUCCAGACUCUGACGGGAGGCAGCAGUGGGGAAUAUUGCACAAUGGGGGCAAGCCUGAUGCAGCCAUGCCGCGUGUAUGAAGAAGGCCUGCGGGUUGUAAAGUACUGUCAGCGGGGAGGCGUUACCCGAAGAAGAAGCACCGGCUAACUCCGUGCCAGCCGCCGCGGUAAUUC
rnacentral:rRNA from 1 species